rnacentral:rRNA from 1 species
UACAGAGGGGCAAGCGUUGUUCGGAAUUACUGGGCGUAAAGGGCGCGUAGGCGGCCUGCUAAGUCGAACGUGAAAUCCCCGGGCUCAACCCGGGAACUGCGUCCGAUACUGACAGGCUUGAAUCCGGGAGAGGGAUGUGGAAUUCCAGGUGUAGCGGUGAAAUGCGUAGAUAUCUGGAGGAACACCGGUGGCGAAGGCGGCCUUCUGGACAGUGACUGCACGCUGAGACGCGAAAGCGUGGGAGCAAACAGG